rnacentral:rRNA from 1 species
CGAGUAGACGGCGUUGCAAGUCAGAUGUGAAAUCUUGGGGCUCAACUUCAAAAUUGCAUCUGAAACUGUAAUGCUAGAGUGCAGGAGAGGUAAACGGAAUUCCUAGUGUAGCGGUGAAAUGCGUAGAUAUUAGGAAGAACAUCAGUGGCGAAGGCGGUUUACUGGACUGUAACUGACGUUGAGGCGCGAAAGCGUGGGGAGCAAACA